CAACCCUCAAGCUUCUGCUUGGUAUUGGGCUUCGUCCGCCUAUUUAGGACGUGCCUGAAACUCAUAGGCGGUUGUGCUCAGCUCCUUAGCGUAGUCAUUUUCUUACCGCUCUGGAGGACUGGGUAUGGCCCGCCCGAGAACCCCCCAUAUUUCUCAAG
rnacentral:misc_RNA from 1 species